GGAUAUAGCUCAGUUGGUAGAGUGCUUGCCUUGCAUUUGCAUGCACAAGGCCCUGGGUUCAAUCCCCUGCACCA
rnacentral:tRNA from 1 species